UUCUAAUGAUUCACCGGAACCCCAGUAGUGAUCCGCUCCCUGGCUAAGAGAGUUAACGGCGCUGUAAGUUAACCCACAACGCGAUCACGAAUUACACUCCAACCAAGGUGACUCACGCACGGCGCGAUAGUCCAUUUGAGGUGCAAUGCACAAAGCUGGGUGGUACCACGGUGAAAAUCGUCCCUUGC
rnacentral:sRNA from 1 species